rnacentral:tRNA from 1 species
AAAGGCUUAGGAUCAAAUUAGACCGAAGGCCUUCAAAGCCUUAAGCAGGUGAUAAAUACACCUAGCCUUUG